UACAGAGGGUGCAAGCGUUGUUCGGAAUUAUUGGGCGUAAAGCGCGUGUAGGCGGCUUUGCAAGUCGGUGUGAAAGCCCUCAGCUUAACUGAGGAAGUGCGCCCGAAACUGCAGAGCUUGAAUACCGGAGAGGAUGGCGGAAUUCCCAAGUAGAGGUGAAAUUCGUAGAUAUGGGGAGGAACACCGGUGGCGAAGGCGGCCAUCUGGACGGCUAUUGACGCUGAGACACGAAAGCGUGGGUAGCAAACAGGA
rnacentral:rRNA from 1 species